UCGGCUCAACACCUUAUAGGAGGGUUUCGCACAUUUAUCUAAAGAAAAUUCAAUAAAUUAGUCUUAAUGCAUUGAAAAAAUAUAUAUACUUAACACAUAUGAAACUUUACUUGAAUCAUUAAAUAACACAGUUACAGGACAGAUAAUGUAAGAGUACGACGAAAUUGUUCACGACGCAUGCGUGUGAGACUGUUAUCCAACAUGGCGUCUGAGCAAAACAAAGCCACGCGAGGCGCGCGUGGACGCGGCACGGUUUAAAAAUAGAACGCACUGCGCUAAAAGUAAACGA